UUUUUUUUUUUUUUUUUAGAUUUUUAUCCAUUCAUGAAAGACAGAGGGGGGCGGGGGGCGGGGCAGGGACACAGGCAAGGGAGAAGCAGGCUCCACGCAGGGAGCCCGAUGUGGGACUCCAUUCCAGGACUCCAGGAUCACGCCCUGGGCCAAAGGCAGGUGCCAAACCAUUGAGCCACCCAGGGAUCCCCUUUGGUAGAGUUUUUGAGAGCAGGUCUGGAUAGGAACCCAAGAGAAUUUCAGAGAGCAGUUACCACUUGGUGGGAAAAGUGCCCCAUCAAAGAAGAACCACCAGUGAAGUCUGAGUGCAUUCACAACUAUUUUAUCAAAAGCUUAGUUAUUAUUAUAGGGCCAAUCUUGGAGAUAACGACUACAUCAGAAAAGUUAAUUGAAAAAAUUACGUAUGGACUGCCAAGGCCCAGUCAUCCUUGGAAACCAAGAUAAACUAGCAGUUUCUUAUCCUCCAUAAAGAUUUGGGGACUGAAAAAAAGCUUCUCUGGAGGAUAAUAAAUAUGUCUUGGAAUAUAGUGGAAAAGAAACUAGUUGUAAGAUUUGCAGGUGAAAUACAGGAUAUCUAGUUAAAUUUCAGUAUCAUGUAAAUAACAUAAUUUUUAUAUAGGACAUACUUAUACUAAAAAAAAAAAAUUAUCUGUCUGAAAUUCAAAUUUAGCUGGAUGUCCUGGAUUUUUAUUUGCCAAAUUUGGCAACAUGAAGUGGUGAGACUCUUAUAUCAGUCUUGUUUAAUAUAACUUAGCCUUGAGAAGAAAUCCAAUUGUGCAGAAUAAUCAUUUAUUAUAUUUACAUGAAGUUUUAAGUUUUUCACAAUAGAACUUUUCAAAAUGAAUUUUGGUGAUAAAGUUUACAAAAUGAAGAUAGCUUCAUAAUUAGGUUAACUGUAAAUUCUAAAAUUAUGAACACUGGCCUUCUACUUAAGAUAUAAUGGGUCUAAUAUGAAUAUAUAAAAAGGCUUUUUGUGCUUAACAAGGAAAACACCAUUUGGUGUUGUAACGAAAUAUAAAUUACUAAAAAAAAUUUCUACUGUGUGAAAACACUAAGCAUAUAUUAGAAAUUCUCCAUUAGCGCAGACUCCAUCUUAAGAGUCCAUCAACCUCCACUAAUGAUGAAUGCCAUCACAUAUUGUAGUCUUCAUAAUAGGAUAAAAAGAUCUGUGUAACCAUGUGGAGUAAUGGAAGAGGGAAGAAGAAACAAGGAGGGGAAAAAACCCAUCAGUUUAAGAAUACUUUGAGUUGGGGAUGAGACAGUUUAACAGGUCUACUUUUUAUUUUUUAUUUUUUUAAGAUUUUAUUUAUUUAUUCAUGAUAGGCAUAGAAAGAGAGAGAGAGAGAGGGGCAGAGACAAAGGCAGAAGGAGAAGCAGGCUCCAUGCCAGGAGCCUGACAUGAGACUCGAUCCUGGGUCUCCAGGAUCACGCCCUGGGCCAAAGGCAGGCGCUAAACUGCUGAGCCACCCAGGGAUCCCUACUUUUCACUUUUUAAAUUAUAUUUUAUCAUUAUCACCUUUUGGAAAGAACCACAAAGACAACUUCUACAUGUCUGGCUUGUACAUAAGAAUCACUGGUAAAAAAAACAAACAAUAGCAUUUCAAAAGUAAUUUUUCUCAACAUAGUUUUUGACCAUCUUACUGUGUAUUAUUAGAUGUUGGAUCAGGCACUUUGUUGGGUAUGACUAAGUACUUAAGGAACUAACCCUUAGUAUGGUAGAAAGACACAUGCAUAGGUAAACAUAAUACAAGAUGAGUUAUCAAGUAAAAUAAUAGAUUGAAAAUGCUAUCAGAGCAUAAAAGGAGAUGGUGAUGGUAAGUUGGCAAA
rnacentral:lncRNA from 1 species